rnacentral:lncRNA from 1 species
GGCUGUUUACAGAUGGGCUAUGUACAGGUGCAGUGAUCUGUGAGCUGCUCUGACAGCUGGUGCUUAAAGCUAGUGAGGGAGAUAUGAGUCUCCAGCUUCAGAGAUUUUUGCAGUUCGUUCCAGUCAUUGGCAGCAGAGAACUGGAAGGAAAGACGACUGUUACGGAGUCUAGUUGAUAGGUAAUCGACUAGCCGGACUGUUCCCCGGACUCCGCGUGUAGGGAUUUGUACAAUGCAUGAACAAGGCUAUUGAACGUGACAUUGGUGUCUGUCUUUAUUACUUUAUCCAAUAUAUCAUACUGAAACAUGGUAUCAGAAGUGGCUCGAAAACCACACAUUUGUUAUUUUUGUAGCUAAGUACAGUAUAGGCACAGUUACGUUCCAUAUGCAAACACACGCCGUUUCCUACUCCUAGUCACAACACUGAUCAACUCGUUGUUAGCUGGUUAGCUAGCAUCACUACCUACCUCGAUGACUGAAGGCAAAGAAAUCUCCUAUUCCAUCGCUAUGGCAGCGAACAUACCGCCACCAAAUCCCAUGGUUCUCACAGGGGACUGGAAUACUAAUUGGGACAAUUUCAGGGAUGAGUUCGAGGACUAUGCGCUGGCGACCGGUCUACAUGAGAAACCCAACGAGGUACAAGCGGCAACUCUGAGGAGUUUAAUGGGCAGCGAAUGCAGGCAUAUCUACCGGCACAAUCUCACCCUCACAGCGCGACAACAGUGUGAUGCAAAGGCUAUAUUGGAUGCAUUGGAGAAUUACUUCAAACCCGCCAGAAACGUCAUUUACGAGCGGUUCGUUUUCGGAAGCUGCCAACAGGAAGAGGGUGAGUCAGUACACAACUUUGUAUCCCGUUUGAGAGAAAAAUCCGGCACUUGUGAAUACGGGGGAUUGAAAGAUGAAUUGAUUCGUGACAAAAUAGUACUGGGAAUUGCAAAUGAGGAUACGCACUGGCGUCUACUGAGAGAGAGAGGCUUAACAUUAGUAACUGCCAUCAAAAUGUGCCGCACUGCUGAAGUCACUGACAUGAGAAUGAGAGCAAUGGAAAUCGAAACCCCACGCUCCGACGUUGAUACUGUUCACGCUGUUGCUAGGCAGACAUUCAGACAAAACCAAUCGAGGCAGAGUAAUUCACCACAAACGGUGAACACAGAGAGCCCCGUAGCAUGUAAAUACUGUGGGAAUACACACACACGUGGCAAAGAGUGCUGCCCUGCCUAUGGAAAACCAUGCAGAGCUUGUGGAACUAAUAAUCACUUUGCAAAAGUGUGUCUCAAAAGCAAAAGAACGGUGAGUGAGGGCAAGAUUCACUGUGUUGAUGAUGUCAUUCAAUGUUCAGAGCUGAACAGUGAAAGUGACAUUUACAUGCAUGAAUCCAUUGGGGCUGUACACUCAAGAGGGAAGAAAUGGUUUGUGACACUACGAUUACAUAACAAGCAACAACAAUGACAACUGGAUUCCGGUGCUACAUGCAACGUAAUGAGCUACAAAGACAAAAUCAAUCUGGCACCUGACACACAUCUAUUGCCCAGCGACACUAGACUAAAGCUGUACUCAGGAGAGCUAAUGAGCUCUAUGGGCACCUUUGAGACCAAAUGUGUUAUUCGGGGACGCAAACACAAGCUGGAGUUUGAGAUUGUGAAAACCAGUCAACAUCCUCUCUUCUCAGGCUCUACAUGCGAACGCCUGGGACUGAUGCAGUUCACUGUACCAAAUGACCUGCACAUUGUGGAUCAUGUCCAGCAUGGACCCCUGUCCAAAGAACAACUACUCAGCAGAUAUGACGAUGUAUUCAACAUGCCCGUUGAAUCAGUGCCUGGGGAGGUACACUUUGAAGUGGAUGAGAGCAUCACUCCAGUCCAGUGUGCUCCUCGCAAUGUGCCCAUUGCAAUGAAAGUGGCUGUGAAGGCCCAGCUGGACAAGUAUGAGGCCGAUGGCCACAUGACAUCUGUGACCGAACCAACUGACUGGAUCAGCAAUAUGGUCAUAGUGAAAAAAACAGAGAAGAUGAGGGUCUGCAUCGACCCAAAGCAUCUGAACCAAGCACUGAAACGAUCCCACUACAUCAUGCAGACACUAGAGGAUGUCCUCUAUAAGCUUCCCAGGGCCAGGAUUUUCACCUUGGUGGAUGCCCGAGAUGCAUUCCUUCAAUGCAAGCUGGAUGAAGAAAGCAGCUUCAUGACUACCUUCUAGACCCCUGGGGUCGGAAACGCUGGCUCAAGCUCCCGUUUGGUGUCUCAGUGGCGCCUGAGGUAUACCAAUGCAAGCAGCACGAGUUACUGGCUGGGCUCAAGGGCAUUGAACCCAUCGCCGAUGAUGUCCUGAUUGUAGGCUGUGGUGACACAGACGAAGAAGCAGAACGCGACCACGAUGUGAAGCUCCUGGCACUGAUGGAGCGCUGUCGAUCAGUUAAGCUUCGUCUUGGCCUGAAGAAGCUGCAGUUCAAGGUGAAAGACGCCCCCUUCCAUGACCACAUUCUCUCGGCAAAAGGCCUGAAGCCGGACCCAGACAAGGUCCGAGCGAUCCUCGACAUGCCAAACCCGUCUGAUGCAAAAGGAGUACAGCGUCUCAUCGGUUUUGCAAACUAUCUUGCAAAGUUCAUGCCACACCUAUCGGUUGCUGGACAAAGACACACCAUGGCACUGGCUACCCAAGCAUGAGGCCGCGGUGCAGGAGAUGAAAUCUCUGGCUUCAUCCAUGCCAGUGUUGCGCUACUACGACGUCACGAAGCCUGUCACAAUCCAGAGCGACUCCAGCCAACGGGGACUUGGAUGCUGCCUUAUGCAGGCCAGCCCGUUGCGUUUGCCUCGAGAGUGCUCACCCCCACCGAACAGAACUAUGCACAAAUUGAGAAAGAGUGCCUCAGCAUCGUCUUCUCCUGCCAGCGAUUCCAUCACUACUUAUAUGGUCGAGAGCUGGUCACCGCUGAAACUGACCACAAACCACUCAUUGCCAUAUUCAGUAAACCUCUCCUCAACGCACCCAAGAGGCUUCAAAGCAUGCUCCUGACUCUGCAAAACUACAGCCUGAAGGUAAUUUACAAGCCAGAACCAGAGAUGUACAUCAGCGACACACUGAGCAGGACAACAGCGCAAUGUACAGGCAGAGGCACUGCCUAUCAGCGGCAGGCCAUCUGUUCGCUACAGCAGGAACAACAAGAUGUUCAACAGAUCAAUCAGGCAGACUACUUAAACGUCACAGAUCACCGCCUAGCCCAGAUCAGGCAACACACUGACAAGGACGAACACCUACAAUCACUGAAGUCCAUGGCUCUCGCAGGUUGGCCAUACCUGAAAGAGGAGACACCUUUCACAGUAAGAGAAUACUGGACCUUUCGAGAUGAGAUCAGCGUGCAAAAUGGCGUCUUGUUCAGAGGUCAGAAGGUCAUUAUUCCCAAAUCACUAUGUCCAGAGAUGCUUACCCGCAUACACUCCAGUCAUGUUGGAUGUGACGCAUGCUACCGCCGGGCUCGUGAAACAUUAUACUGGCCAAACAUGCAAGCAGAAAUAAAAGACUUUGUCAGCAGCUGUACCACAUGCAACGAGUACGUUCAUGAACAGCAAAAGGAAACCAUGAUGUCACACGAACUGCCCACAAGGGCCUGGCAAAUCAUCAGCAUGGAAUUAUUCAGCCACAGACAAAAGGACUAUCUUCUCAUUGUUGAUCACUACUCUGACUUUUGGGAAAUUGAACUGCUCCCUGACUUGUCUGCAGAGACAGUCAUAAACCACUGCAAGGCGCAGUUUGCAAGGCAAGGUCAGCCUGACAAGGUAAUCACGGACAAUGGCCCACAAUUCACAGCAUAGUUCAAGCGUUUCGCCUCAGAAUGGGAGUUUGACCACGUGACCUCCUCUCCAAGACACCCAAAAGCAAUUGACAAGGCAGAGUCAGCUGUCAAGAUUGCAAAAAACCUGUUAACCUGUUAGGGCUAGGGGGCAGUAUUGACACGGCUGGAUAAAAAACGUACCCGAUUUAAUCUGGUUACUACUCCUGCCCAGUAACUAGAAUAUGCAUUUAAUUAUUGGCUUUGGAUAGAAAACACUCCAAAGUUUCUAAAACUGUUUGAAUGGUGUCUGUGAGUUUAACAGAACUCAAAUGGCAGGUCAAAACCUGAGAAGAUUCUGUACAGGAAGUACCCUGUCUGACCAUUUCUUGGCCUUCUUUGCCAUCUCUAUCCAUUACAAAGGAUCUCUGCUGUUACGUGACACUUCCUACGGCUCACAUGGGCUCUCAGAAGGCGGCAAAAAGCUGAAUCGUGGCUUUGCAGGCUCUGGCUGAAAAAAAGUAGCGCGUUUGGGUAGUGGCUGGUUACAGUACUGUGAGACUCAGGCGCGUGCCCGCGUCGACCGAAUGCUUUGUUUUCUUUCCUCUGUUUACCUAAACGGAGAUUCCCGGUCGGAAUAUUAUCGCUUUUUUACGAGAAAAAUGGCAUAAAAAUUGAUUUUAAACAGCGGUUGACAUGCUUCGAAGUACGGUAAUGGAAUAUUUAGAAUUUUUUUGUCACGAAUUGCGCCAUGCUCGUGACCCUGAUUUACCAUUUCGGAUAGUGUCUGGAACGCACGAACAAAACGCCGCUAUUUGGAUAUAACGAUGGAUUAUUUUGGACCAAACCAACAUUUGUUAUUGAAGUAGCAGUCCUGGGAGUGCAUUCUGACGAAGACAACAAAGAGUUCCCAGUUGUCUUGAAAGCACCAUCAAUCCAGAGAAUGCCAGACUUUGAUGACAACAUUUUGACAAAAUGUGCCCACAAGGACCGCAGCACCACCUUCCUGUUCAAGUGAGCAUAGCACAAGGAUGGCAGCCCACCUGUUGACCCGGUUUCCAAGCACCAUCUCGCCAGCAGGAUGUUUGUGGCACAGCUCAACAAAAAUGGCCUCUACUAUCCUGCUGGUGUUGGGCCACUGAGCAGGUCCAGAGACUUGCCCAAGCAGGGAGCUGAAGUUGAGGUCUUAGAAUUUUUUGAAGCGCCUCUGCAGGACUAGGUCCAGGAACCUCUCGGGGUAGGAGACUGCUGCCUUGUCUCUCUCUGGAAGAUUUCCCCAGAGAGCCAUGAUCUCCUCUAUGUGCCUACUGGAGACCCAUGGCCCCUCCAGCAGCCGCACCAGACUCUUGGCCAGGAGGACCACAUGCUGGUAUCCACCCCAUCAGGUCCUAUGUACUCCUGGAAAUAGAAGAGUCAUGGGGAAGGGUUGGAUUAAUAGUCAGCUUAAUAGUUAAUGAAUGGAAAGAAACUUAAGCAAUGAGAGCUGUUUAGGAUGUGGAAAGGCACUUAAGUCAUCCACUGUGUCCUGACUGGCAGCGGGUGCAGUGUCCACCUCCUCAGUAGUGUCAUCAGGGGGUGGGAUGACAGGUACCUGGGAUGGGUUGUGUUGAGAGGGCUCAGUGGGCGGUGGAGUGGCCUUCCUGAGUGGAGGGACUGGUGGGAGACUGUCAUUGAGGGCGUGCAAGGAGAUGGUGGGGGAAUCCUCCUCCUCAAGCGCUACCAGGUCGUCCUCCUCUCACUCUCCUCCCUCAAAUAGAUUUUUUAUUUACUUUAUUUGUUAUUUCACCUUUAUUUAACCAGGUAGGCUAGUUGAGAACAACUUCUGAUUUACAACUGCGACCUGGCCAAGAUAAAGCAAAGUGGUUCGACACAAACAACACAGAGUUACACAUGGAAUAAACAAACAUACAGUCAAUAAUACAGUAGAAAAAGUCUGUGUACAGUGUGUGCAAAUGAGGUAAGAUAAGGGAGGUAAUGCAAUAAAUAGGCCAUGGUGGCAAAAUAAUUACAAUAUACCAAUUAAACACUGGAGUGAUAGAUGUGCAGAAGAUGGAUGUGCAAGUAGAGAUACUGGGGUGCAAAGGAGCAAGAUAAAUAAAUAAAUACAGUGUGGGGAUGAGGCAGUUGGAUGGGCUAUUUACAGAUGGGCUAUGUACAGGUGCAGUGAUCUGUGAGCUGCUCUGACAGCUGGUGCUUAAAGCUAGAGAGGGAGAUAUGAGUCUCCAGCUUCAGAGAUUUUUGCAGUUCGUUCCAGUCAUUGGCAGCAGAGAACUGGAAGGAAAGACUACCAAAGGAGGAAUUGGCUUUGGGGGUGACCAGUGAGAUAUACCUGCUGGAGCACGUGCUACGAGUGGGUGCUGCUAUGGUGACCAGCGAGCUGAGAUAAGGCGGGGCUUUACCUAGCAGAGACUUGUAGAUAACCAGUGGGUUUGUCGACGAGUAUGAAGCGAGGGCCAACCAACGAGAGCGUACAGGUCACAAUGGUGGGUAGAGUAUGGGGCUUUGGUGACAAAACGGAUGGCACUGUGAUAGACUGCAUCCAAUUUGUUGUGUAGACUGUUGGAGGCUAUUUUGUAGAUGACAUCGCCGAAGUCGAGGAUCGGUAGGAUGGUCAGUUUAACGAGCGUAUGUUUGGCAGCAUGAGUGAAGGAUGCUUUGUUGCGAAAUAGGAAGCCGAGUCUAGAUUUGAUUUUGGAUUGGAGAUGCUUAAUGUGAGUCUGGAAGGAGAGUUUACAGUCUAACCAGACACCUAGGUAUUUGUAGUUGUCCACAUAUUCUAAGUCAGAACCAUCCAGAGUAGUGAUGCUGGACGGGCGGGCAGGUGCAGGCAGCGAUCGGUUGAAGAGCAUACAUGUCACGAUCAUCAAAAGGGGGGGACCAAAGCGCAGCGUGGUAAGUGUUCAUUGUUGUAUUUAUUUUAAAUCAGAACACUACAAACAAAAGAAUAAACAAUGAUAACGACCGUAACGUCUUGCAGGCUUAACAAGCAGUACAAAAAUAAGAUCCCACGACUACAGGUGGGGAAAGGCUGCCUAAGUAUGAUUCCUAAUCAGAGACAACGAUAGACAGCUGCCUCUGAUUAGGAACCAUACUCGGCACAACACAAAGAAAUAGACACCAUAGAAUGCCCACCCCACACCCUGACCUAACCACAUAGAGAAACAAACCGUCUCUCUCAGGUCAGGGCGUGACAAUGCAUUUAGUUUUACUUGCAUUUAAGAGCAGUUGGAGGCCACGUAAGGAGAGUUGUAUGGCAUUGAAGCUCGUCUGGAGGUUAGUUCAUGUAGUGUCAAAGAAGGGCCAGAAGUAUACAGAAUGGUGUCGUCUGCGUAGAGGUGGAUCAGAGAAUCAGGUGUCCCGUCUGGGACAUCCAGGUCCUUACCGAGGUUGGACUCCAGCUUCUGGUCACCAUCGGUCUGGAAAAAGAGAUACUCGACCCCAAUGAGUUUCCCUUAAACAGAGAGACAAAAAAGAGAGUAGUACAUAAACAGAACCGCACAUGUUUUAUUGUGUGUGUAUAAUUGUAUAAGACUGCAGCCCAUGAGCUUCUGGCUCAGCUCAUUGAUGAUGUACUGGGCCACACACUCAUAGCAGUGCAGGGUCUGCUUCUACCCCUCCUCCGCUACACCAUCAUAGCAGUGUAGGGUCUGCUUCUGUCCCCCCCCCGACCGCUACACCAUCAUAGCAGUGCAGGGUCUGCUUCUACCCCUCCUCCGCUACACCAUCAUAGCAGUGCAGAGUCUGAUUCUGUCCCCCCCGAUACCAUCAUAGCAGUGCAGGGUCUGCUUCUGCCCCCCCCUUCCGCUACACCAUCAUAGCAGUGCAGGGUCUGCUUCUGUCCCCC